AUGAAGACAGAGAUUGAGGAGGAAGGCACCAGAGGGUCCUGGACUGAGGAGGACAAAUCCCUUUGUGCUUCUGUGCUGGGCUUAGAUGCCUUUACAUAUCUGACAAAAGGUGGAGGUGCCAUAUCUGAAAAUCUCGUAGCAGCGUCUGGAUUGGUGGGCUUGCAAAAUAAACUCCAGGACCUGGUUGAAGCUGAUGGUGAAAGCCUUUGUUGGAACUACGCCAUCUUCUGGCAACUCUCCCACACCAAAUCUGGGGAACUUGUCCUUGGCUGGGGUGACGGAUCUUGCCGUGAACCCCAUGAUAAUGAGAUGAACUCGACUACUCGUGGUGAUAUUCAUGAUGCAUCUUCACUGAGCCAACAAAGGAUGCGUAAGCGAGUGUUAGAGCGACUGCAUACAGCAUUUGCUGGGGCUGAUGAGGAGGAUGAUGCUCUCAGAAUUGACCAGGUGACUGACACUGAGUUAUUCUUCCUAGCAUCCAUGUACUUUGCAUUUCCACGUCAUGUAGGUGGCCCUGGGCAAGUGUUUGCAACAGGUGCACCCCUUUGGAUUCCUAACAAUCCGCACAAGGUUUCCCCCUCAAAUUAUUGCUAUCGUGGAUUCCUUGCAAGUGCAGCAGGAUUUAGGACUAUUGUGCUACUGCCAUUUGAAGCUGGUGUACUUGAGUUAGGCUCAAUGCAGAAUGUGCUUGAGAGUGCUGAAGCUCUGGAAACCAUAAGGUCUGUGUUUCUAGGGGCAAGCAGUAAGAAGCCAGCAUCUGGGAAGCAUGAUGAGAAUGGUUCUGCUCAAAUAUCACCCGGUUUGGCUAAGAUUUUCGGGAAGGAUUUGAAUCUGAGCCGACCUUUAGUCAACACGGGAGCACUCCCAUUAAAAAUGAACGAAAGGUCAUGGGAUAUGCAGAAGAAUUGUGGUGGUGAGAGCCUGUUGCUCCCCAAUGUCCGGAAAGGUUUGCAGAACUUCACAUGGAGUCAGGCUCGAGGCCUGAAUUCUCAUCACCAGAAAUUUGGCAAUGGUAUUCUAGUUGUGAAAAGUGAGACUUCACAACGUAGCAAUGGAGCUGCACAUAGCCCUGGACUGAGCCCAUUUCAGAUCCGGAAUUCACAGCAGAUACUGACACAACCACCACCUCAGUCACAGACACCGAGGCAUAUAGAUUUUAGCGUAGGGUCUAGUUCAAAAUCUGGUGUUUUGACUUCACAAGCAGCUCCGUUGGGUGGGGAAAAUGGCAGUGUCGAUGGCUUGUGUAAGGAGCAAGUGGCCCCUACAAUGGAGGGCCAGCAACCAAGAAAGAGGGGAAGAAAACCAGCAAACGGGAGGGUAGAGGCACUUAACCAUGUUGAGGCUGAGCGCCAAAGGAGGGAAAAACUCAACCAGAGGUUCUAUGCACUGAGAGCUGUUGUUCCCAAUAUAUCAAAAAUGGACAAAGCAUCACUCCUGGGAGAUGCCAUAACGCACAUCACUGAUCUCCAGAAGAAGCUCAAAGAGAUGGAGUCGGAAAGAGACAUGUUCUUGGAGUCUGGUAUGGUAGACCGCAGGGUCCAAACACCUAGGCCAGAAGUAGAUAUCCAGGUGGUGCAAGAUGAGGUUCUUGUUCGUGUAAUGUCACCUAUGGACAACUAUCCAAUAAAUAAUGUGUUCCAAGCUUUUGAAGAGGCAGAAGUCAAAGUUGGUGAAUCAAAGAUCGCAUCCAACAAUGGGAAAGUUAUGCAUUCCUUUGUUAUCAAGUCCCCUGGCUCUGAACAGCAAACAAGAGAGAAAUUGAUUGCCGCUAUGUCUCGUGCAAUGAACUCCAUGUAG
rnacentral:rRNA from 1 species